rnacentral:rRNA from 1 species
UACGUAGGGGGCAAGCGUUGUCCGGAAUCAUUGGGCGUAAAGAGCGUGUAGGUGGCCCGGUCAGUCCGCCGUGAAAGUCCAGGGCUCAACCCUGGAAUGCCGGUGGAUACUGCCGGGCUGGAGUCCGGAAGAGGCGAGUGGAAUUCCUGGUGUAGCGGUGAAAUGCGUAGAUAUCGGGAGGAACACCAGUGGCGAAGGCGACUUUCUGGCCUGUUCUUGACGCUGAGGCGCGAAAGCUAGGGGAGCAAACGGG